rnacentral:rRNA from 1 species
UACGUAGGGUGCGAGCGUUGUCCGGAAUUAUUGGGCGUAAAGAGCUUGUAGGUGGUUUGUCGCGUCUGCUGUGAAAAUCCGAGGCUCAACCUCGGACUUGCAGUGGGUACGGGCAGACUAGAGUGUGGUAGGGGAGACUGGAAUUCCCGGUGUAGUGGUGGAAUGCGUAGAGAUCGGGAGGAACACCCGUGGCGAAGGCGGUGGCCUGGGCCGAUGCUGACGCUGAGGCGCGAAAGCGUGGGGAGCGAUCCGG